UUCUUUUUGUAUUGUCUCAAAUUGCACGUUUUUCUUACAGAUUUUUCAUUUUUAAAGGUUGAUCUGAAUUUAAAAGUCCAAAAGUCGGCAUCUUCAAACAUGACUUCUGUACUAGAAAAUAUGAUAGAAAUCGCAGCCCUGGGGAGGCCAUUUCAGCUGGGAAUGUUAUACGACUGUAGAAAUGAUGCAAUAGUCCCAGGAAUGAUGCUUUGGGAUCGAGAGCGGCUGCAGCUUAACAAAUAUGUUAGUUCACAACAUAACACAGAGUUCACAGUUACAACUUCAGACACAAUUGAUGAAAAAUCAAAGCAACUGAAAGUUGAUGGUGAAAUGAAACUGAGUCUUUUGGGAGGAAAUGUCAUGCUUAGUGGUGCAGCCAGAUAUUUCAAUGACACUAAAAAGUCAUUUACACAAGAACGCUUGACGCUGCAUUACAGAACAACCACCAGGUUUGAGCAGUUAAUAAUGAACCAUCUGGCACAAAAAAAAAUCGGCCACCAUGAUGUAGUUGAUUAUAAUAUAGCAACCCAUGUGGUUUUAGCAGUUGUCUAUGGAGCGGAUGCCUACUUUGUAUUUGAUAAAGAGGUGAAUUCGUCUGUUAAGACAAGAAAAGUAAAGGGAGGAGUUAACAUUGCCACUGAGAAGCUGAAGAUCCUUUGCUCCGCUGGGGCACAGGUAGACUUCAAAAUGAAUGAAAAUGAGAAGGCUGAAAUGAAACAACUGAAUUGUACAUUUUAUGGUGAUUUCAAGUUGCCUUCUAAUCCAACAACUUUUGAAGAUGCUGUGAAGGUUUACAAAGAUCUUCCAAAGAUGCUUGGAGAAAAUGGAGAACAUGCAGUUCCAGUUAAAGUGUGGCUUUAUCCUCUGGUUAAACUGGACUCAAGAGCAGCCAAACUUCAAAGACACAUCUCUACACAUCUCAUUAGAGCUGUGGAAUCAGUGAUUGAGAAUUGAAAUGAAACAUCAAUGAAAUGUGGUGACCUGAUGGAAGACACAGUGGCAAAAGCAUUCGACACAUUUCAUGAUCGAGUUCAGGACUUUCAGAAAUUCUACACUGAGUACAAGCAAGAUUUCAUGAAGGGUCCAUAGGGUCCAUCCUGCCAGAAAUCCAUGGAGGUAAAGCAGAUAUAAAAGACCUAAGUGAACUUCUAGAAGCCCAUAAGAAAUCACCUUUUAAUAGCCAUGAUCUUCAGCAGUGGAUAACAGUGAAAGAAAAAGAAUCCAACCAAAUAAAAGCACUGCUAAUACAGCUGCAGGAACUUGGAGCAGAGGUCCAUGCUGACAGAGACAAAUAUCUAUUAGACUUGAAAGUGGAGAAUUUGGUUUCUUACACUUUUACCUGUCUUCAUCACCCAGAGCCUCUCCUGACCAAACAAGAGAUCUACCUGAACCCUUCAAAAACAAACGAUCCCAGUGAAAAUACACUUGGUGAAGAUUUUCAGGAAAAAUCAUGGACCUCUGAGGAGCUCAUGUGCAUGAGGAAAAAUUUGAAAAUCUUUAAGGAUUUGAUCACUUUAAAUAAAAAUAACAAAAACAUGAAGUUUAUUGUAGAGAGUGUGCCUCAAACACCAGAUAAACCCUGUUCCUGUAUCCUUAUGUAUGAGAAUGGAUGCAGUGAAGCUACCUGUUUUGUUCCUCCAUCAAAGCCGGCAUGUCCAGUCACUGAAUGUGUCACAGAUAACAGCAUAACAGUACAGCUGAGGUCUUCAUGUGCUGCUACACUGAAGAGGCAACUACUUUACAAAAUGAAACAAGAGAUUGACUGGAAAUCUCAGACUGUCACUGAAGAUAGAGUUACACUGACAAAUCUUAAAGAAGGCACUGAUUAUGAAAUAAAAUGUGCAGCAGUAGGAACAAUGGACUACAUGGUUGAAAGUGAUGUAACACAGUCUGUGGUAAAAAGCAAGACGGAGCUGGAGGCAGCUACAAGUGAAUCGACCCAGCAGGUGAUUGAAAGAACAAGUAAAGUUACACACCCCCACUCAUUUGCUACAGGUGUACAGGUACAGAGGACACCCUCGUGCACUGAAGGUAAAUUUAAUUCAAUUCAGUUUUAUUUGAAUAGUGCUUUUAACAAUGGACAUUGAUUUUAUUUAUUUAGGAUGGAGUACAGGUGCCAGGUUACAUCUGCUACUUAAAUUCAUUCUUUCACAUUUCUGUUGAUUAACAUAUUUAGCUCAUGACCACACAGGUGACCAGAUGCAGACGCAGCCUCUUCUAAAAUAUUUUACUGUUCCACUUGGAAGCACAUUAGGACCUCUUGUGGGUAUAAAACAGAAAUUUCAGGAACUAAUACGAGGUCUGCAGAAUGUGCAGAAGCCAGAGGACUGUGAUUUCAUUAUGGCUUUCUGCCCUGAUGUUAUUAUUGAAACAGCAGAGAAGAUGGUUAACAGCUUAACAGGUAACAAACCUGCAGUUGUGGUGGUGCUUCAUCACUCAUUUGAUCCGGAGCAUAUUGUACCAGACAGCAGCAGAUCAGUAAAGAGACAGAAUACAAUCACAGUCGACUGUCUGUUCAAUGAAGAGCUGGGAUUACUGGAAUGUAGUAAAAUGAAGCACUGUCCAAAUUAACAAACUGGCUGCAUCCUGAGGGUAUUUCAAACAAGCCACAGAGUCAACAUCAAAAAGAAUCUCAGAAAUAUAACCAGGAUGUUCAUCAAGUAGGAAACCAAGCUCAAGGUGAAAGGGAACACAAAGAGUGUUGUAAGGACCAAGGCCUGACAAAUCAAAAAAAGGAAAAUACAGAGCAAAAUGAAGACACUGUGCAGAAACAGUUGGAGAAAAACAAUGGGCAAGAAGAAAAGAAAAGCGGACUAACAGAAAAUGGUGUAAAAAACGAGGACGAUAACACAAAUCCAGUACACAAUGAAUGUCAAGGUGAGAAGAAUGACAAGCCGGAAGAACAAAAUACAGCAGUGGAUGGGAUGAUGGCACAGUCUGAAAAGGAGAAAAGUCAGGAGGAGGAAAAGCAAGGUCACAGUAAAAGUGAAGAACAGUCUUGUAAGGAGCCAUGCCCACAGAAUGAAAAAAGAGAAGAGCAUGAUGAAGACAUGGAGGGGAAACAAAGGGAGAAAGGCCAAGAGAAAGAGCAAUAUACUGGAGAACGUGGAGGAAAAAAAAGUGAAGUAACAAUCGAUAAUUUAGAAGACACAGUGGUGAACAUAGAACAGGUACAGAAGAAUGAAAAUCAAGGUGAAAAGAACAAUAAACCAGAAGAAAACAAUAUACAAGCAGAUGAGGCCACAGCAGUGUGUGAAAAGGAGAAAAGCCAGGUCGAUGAGAAAGCCAUAGAACCAAGGGAUCAGAGCAGCAAAGUAACCAUAAACAAUGUUAAGGAA